AAGGCAGGUACAGGAUACUGAGUUGGAUGAUCAGCCAUGAUCAUAUUGAAUGGUGGUGCAGGCUCGAAGGGCCGAAUGGCCUACUCCUGCACCUAAUUUCUAUGUUUCUAAAUACUUUGAUCAAGUUAAUAAGACGUGACCUACCACAUACAAUGACAUGCCGACUGUCCCUAACUGGCCCAUUCCCUUCCAAAUGGGAGUAAAUCCUAUCCUAAGGAAUCCUCUCCAAUAGCUUCCCGACCGCUGUAAUGAGGCUCACUGGCCUAAAAUUCCCUGGAUUCUCUCAACCUAUGUAGUUUCGGUUGCCCAACUAGUGGAAGGAUGCCAUUAAGUCAGAAAGGGUGUGAAAGAGAUUCACCAGGAUGCUACCUGUGUUUGCAGGCUUAAAUUAUAGGGAGAGGCUGGUUCUCUUCUUUGGAGCCUAGGAGACUAAGGUGCAUCCUUAUUCACAUGUACAAGAUGAUGAGGGGCAUGGAUAAAGUCAAUGCUCACUGUCAUUUUCCGAUGUUGAAAAUUCUAAAACUAGAGGGACAACUUUUGGUGCAACUCCUUCCAAUAGAUUUUUUCACACGGAACAUAUUCCCUCCCAUUUUGACGAAAACAUCACUCAAAACUGGUCACUGAUUUCAUGCACUUCCCUAAUAGGACCAGCCUGCACAGUGGAACAGGGUAUAAGAACAGGGUUACAGCCAACAGUUGGCUCAAAUAAUUUAACUAAGAAUGCAUAGUAAUAGUCAAAAUGGUCUCCUAAUGAAAGUCAUAGUCCUGGAGCUGUACAGAUGGAAACAGGCCAUCUAGUCCACCUUAUUCAUACUGGCCUUGUUCCAUUUGUCUGCAUUUGGUCCACAUCCUACCCACAUAUCUAUUGAAAUGUCUUUUAAAAUCCAUAAUUGUAUCCGAUUCUAAAGCUUCCUCUGAAAGUUCAUUCCACAUACACACUACCCUCCGAGUACGUAUUAUACCAACAUCUGGAUUGUGGAGAAUCGGGAGGACUGGAAAACCGCAAGGCUAUCAUCCCUCCUGAAGAUAGGGAGAGAACCACUGGCUGGUAUUCUGACAUUGGAAUAACGCUGCUCAGCGGACAUAGAAAAUGAUCAGACAAUUGAGCAGAGUGAGAAUGAUUUCAUCAAAGUGAAACUCCGUUUGAAAAAUUUGUCGGAGUUCUUUGUGGACGAAACAAACAGGGUUGAUAAAAGAGGAAUCAGUAGAUGUAGUGACCGAUUUUCAAUUAGUUGCAGUUGUAUAAAACAUAACUACUUUGCGUUGGAACACCAAAUUAGACUGCAGCAGGUAGCUUUCUUUUUGAUACACUUUGAAAUAACUUUUCAGGAAAAGGUUUUACAAUAAAAUAAAAGUUUACAAUCAAUUCAGGAGCAUUAAAUACAAGAAAGUUUUCUACAAGUUCUUCCAAAGUUUCUUUUAGUUAGUGGCAGUUGAAUGAAACGUAGCUAUGAAUUGGAAACACCAAAUUGAACUUUACAGCGUAGAUUUAUUUUUGAUGCACUUUGCAAUAACCUUUCAGGGUAAUGUUUUGCAAUCAAUAGACAUUUCUUUUUUUUAAAUCAAAAUCUUUUUAUUUAGUUUUCAAGACCGGGUAAUGUUUUGCAAUCAAUAGACAUUUCUAAUCGAUUCAGGUACAUGACAUCCAAAGAGUGGUGGUUUACAUCAAGUUAUUUCAAAAUUAUUUUUAGUUUGUGGCAGUGAAACGAAACAACUACUCUGUAAUGGAAACUCCUAAUUAGACUGCAGCAAGUAGGUCUUUUCAGGAUAUGAUUUUACGAUCAAAUAAACGUUUCCAAAUCAAUUCAGGAAUAUUACAUAUGUAAAGUGGUUUACAACAAGGUAUUUUGAAAUUAUUUUUACUUAGUGGCAGUUGUUUGGAAAAUUAAAUAUUCUGCACUGGAUACCCCAGAUUUCUUCUCAAGCUUCCCGUAGUGUCCUUGAAUAUAUCUCUUCAGACCUGUGAGAUUUAUCUACCUUCAUAUGCCUUAGGACGUUCAGCACCUCCUCGACCAUAAAACUGACUGUACUUGGGACAACUAAGGGACGCGUUUUGAGAACAGUCAGUUUGAUGGUCGAGGAGGUGCUGAACAUCCUAAGGCAUAUGAAGGUAGAUAAAUCUCGCAGGCCAGAUUGGAUAUUUGAAGACAGUGUGGAAACCUGGGCUGAAUGGCCUAAUUCUGCUUCAUGUUAUGAACAUGAAGAUACGUUCAAGACAGGUGCCUUUGGAAAAGUAUCAACCUGCUUCUCUGUGGGUGAGGGGCGAGGGGGUUGGGAUAGGACUGGUGGAGGGGAGGGGGGGCAGGUAGAGUAUAGGAGAGAGGAAAUAUUGUUCAAAGAAACUUGUAGAAAGGGGAUGAGAGGAACAGUGUACUUUCCCUUUAAUUUUCAUUUGAUUCAAUCUCUACUGGCAAGAGCCGAUUUGUGAAUGUAGAUUCAUAUUUUGAAGUGCACUUUAACUUCUGUGUUUGUUAUUCAAUGAUUUAACAAUUAUUUGCAAUUUCAUCCAUAAUAAAUGCUGAUGAGCCAAGUAACUUUUUUGAAAGUUUUUAUUGUUCGGAUAUGCCCCAUACGAAAACACAGCUAUCUGCACCUACUAUGCGACUAUCGAUUCAUUUAAGUUGAAAAGUGCACAACAGAUCCUUGCAAUUUUAUUAAUUUUGGGUACUUGGCUUUCAGAGUUGGUCAUCAUGUACUCCAGUGGUACAGUAUGACUUAGAAUUAGGUAUUUUUGCCUGAUAUCACCAAUCACACGCUCUACAUGAAUGCGUAAAUGUGCUAAUUCACGAGUUUUUUCCACAUCCAGCGCAGAUAGUUGUGUUUUUUCUCUUGUAAAUGCAGGAAUUUCUGCUUCACAAUUGUAAAAUCCGGCAUCAUCUUUUAUGUCAAAACCGUGAUCAGCUAAAAUGACAUCUCCAGGGAGUAGGUUGUCAAAAAAGUUAGAUGAAAGUGUAAUUGUUUUAUCUGUGCCUCUGCCCCCCCCCCCACCCCCA